rnacentral:rRNA from 1 species
GACGAACGCUGGCGGCGUGCUUAACACACGCAAGUCGAACGGAAAGGCCCUGCUUUUGUGGGGUGCUCGAGUGGCGAACGGGUGAGUAACACGUGAGUAACCUGCCCUUGACUUUGGGAUAACUUCAGGAAACUGGGGCUAAUACCGGAUAGGAGCUCCUGCUGCAUGGUGGGGGUUGGAAAGUUUCGGCGGUUGGGGAUGGACUCGCGGCUUAUCAGCUUGUUGGUGGGGUAGUGGCUUACCAAGGCUUUGACGGGUAGCCGGCCUGAGAGGGUGACCGGCCACAUUGGGACUGGGAGACGGCCCAGACUCCUACGGGAGGCAGCAGUGGGGAAUAUUGCACAAUGGGCGGAAGCCUGAUGCAGCAACGCCGCGUGCGGGAUGACGGCCUUCGGGUUGUAAACCGCUUUCGCCUGUGACGAAGCGUGAGUGACGGUAAUGGGUAAAGAAGCACCGGCUAACUACGUG